GAUGAUUUUAAAGCCAGGAGUCAUUCCAUCAGUAUUUAACUGGAAUGAUAAACCAAAGACCAAGUGAAUUUUUAAAAGGAAGUUUCCAUCUUCACUAAGUCAACCAAUGCAAAGUGAUGAGACAAUGUGUAUUGAGACACAUGUGGAAGAAGAGUAUCGUACAUAUAACACAGAAUCAGAGGAAAGCAGGACAAAAAGGAGAAAAACAGAGACAGAGUUAGAAACAGCCAAAAACAACAAUCUUGAAGAACAACUGUCUGAAAAGGAGAAAAAGUUGGCAUGCUUACGUCAGCAAAUUAGUAUUGAACAAUUUUGUGUAAAAAGAAUUUUCAACGGAUGAUUCUCUAAUUUUAUUCUACACUGGGUUUCAAACAUAUUUACUUUUUCUUACCUUUUUUGAAUGUAUACAGCCAACCGCUAAAAACAUGCAGAGUGCAUAUCAUAAAAGUAGUGAAACUAUUAGUCUUAGUGGAUGAAAGCGUUCUAUCGUGCUCAUUAACGAGCUUUUUUUUAAAUUUUUACAAGAUCUGAGUGUUCGAUUUUCAUGUUCUCUCCCAACCAUCAGCAGGAAAAUAAUAACUUGGGCAAUGUUUUUGUACUUUGUUUUAGGCCAAAUUCCUAUAUGGUUAUCUAAAGACCUCAUCCAAACUCUUAUUCCCGACUCUUUCAAAACUUUAUAUCAAGAACAAGAUUGGUAAUAGACUGUACAGAACUAAAAACUCAACAACCUUCUUCUUUGAUUCUCAAAUCUCAAUCAUAUUCGAGUUAUAAGAGUAUUAAUACUUUUAAAUGUCUAUUAGGGGUAGCUCCUCACGGGGCAGUUAUGGCUAAUAAAGUAUUUACAAUUCGGAAACUUUUGCAAGAAAAAGGCGUUACCCUUAACAUUCCGACAUUCUUGAGUAAUAAGAGACAAUUUGAUACAAGUGAAAUUCAAAAAACUUGCAAAACUACGCAUCCAUUUUGAGAGAAUGAACAGACGUAUUAAAGAAAAUCACUUAUUUUACUGCCCAAUUCCUAUUUCCCUUUCUGGGAAGUUAAUCAAUUAUGGACUGUUGCUUGCUUACUCGCUAAUAAAAUCCUUGGUUGUUUAGUUAGAACUUCAUCAGAAAUGCAUCCUGAUUAUAUCAACCAUACGUUGUCGUAAUAAUAGCACUACAAUGCCAAAAUUCUUUGUUUAUUAAAUGCAAUGUUAAAUAAAUAUUCUUGUAUCUUUUAU